UAGUCCACGCCCUAAACGAUGUUUACUCGAUCUUUGCGAUACACUGUAAGGGUCCAAGCGAAAGCGUUAAGUAAACCACCUGGGGAGUACGUUCGCAAGAAUGAAACUCAAAGGAAUUGACGGGGGUCCGCACAAGUGGUGGAGUAUGUGGUUUAAUUCGAUGAUACGCGAAGAACCUUACCUAGGCUCUAAUGCUACACGACCAUUUCAGAAAUGAGAUUUCCCUUCGGGGCGGGUAGUAAGGUGCUGCAUGGUUGUCGUCAGCUCGUGCCGUGAGGUGUUGGGUUAAGUCCCGCAACGAGCGCAACCCCUAUCUUUAGUUGCCAGCGAGUAAUGUCGGGGACUCUAAAGACACUGCCUGCGCAAGCAGAGAGGAAGGCGGGGAUGACGUCAAAUCAUCAUGGCCUUUAUGCCUAGGGCUACACACGUACUACAAUGGUGAUGACAAAGGGUUGCUACUUGGCGACAAGAUGCCAAUCCCAAAAACAUCAUCUCAGUUCGGA
rnacentral:rRNA from 1 species